CAGCAGUCGCCGCGGGAAUACGUAGGUGGCGAGCGUUGUCCGGAUUUAUUGGGCGUAAAGGGAGUGUAGGCGGUCUUUUAAGUCUGAUGUGAAAGCCCACGGCUCAACCGUGGAGGGUCAUUGGAAACUGGGAGACUUGAGUGCAGAAGAGGAGAGCGGAAUUCCAUGUGUAGCGGUGAAAUGCGUAGAUAUAUGGAGGAACACCAGUGGCGAAGGCGGCUCUCUGGUCUGUAACUGACGCUGAGGCUCGAAAGCGUGGGGAGCAAACAGGAUUAGAUACCCCAGUAGUCCCUGUCUCUUAUAC
rnacentral:rRNA from 1 species